GCAUGGUGAAGGAAGGUGUGUGGCUGGGGUGCGGCCCAGCGGGGCAAGGGUAGGCUUGAGUGGAGUGGGACCAGCAGGGCCCCCAGGCUUCUGCCCUGGAGGACCCAGAGGAGGGCACGUGAGGUCCCACCCCGUGUCUGCCUUGGGGAGGUCUAUGAGCACAUGCAGUGCCUUUGUGCGUGUUAGGAGAGCUACCCCCUCUGGAAGGACUGAAUGAGAAAGGAGGUUUAAAAAAGAAAGAAAGAAAAGCGACUCCCUCCAGUUCGACAGAUCAAAGAGAGGAUCCCCCUCUCGGCUGACCAGAUGGGAAAAUGCACCCCCUCAGGCAGGUGGCCAAUUAGAAAAAUAUGUCCUUUUGGCAGCUGCAGCCCUGGGUUAAUAUGUGAGACUUGGCAAGUGAGAGCCUGGGCAGGAUCUCAGAUCCACUCCCACUCCCGGGAUCUGGCAUCCAAGUGUCUGACACAGCCAUACGUGGCAGUGGGUGUAGGAGCCUGCCUGGGGUGCUGACCCCACUGGACCGUCUUCCUAGUUCCAGGAGCUGGUGCUGCCCCACUUUGGGAAGGAAGAUGCUGGGGAUGUACAGCAGUUCUACGACCUGCUCUCCGGUUCUCU
rnacentral:lncRNA from 10 species